GGUUUCGUGCUAUGGUUAGUGGUUAGAGCAUCCGCCUCGGAUGCGAGAGGUCGCGGGUUCGAACCCAGGCCGAGUCAUACCA